UACGUAGGGUGCGAGCGUUGUCCGGAAUUAUUGGGCGUAAAGAGCUCGUAGGCGGUGUGUCGCGUCGGCCGUGAAAACCUGCAGCUUAACUGUGGGCUUGCGGUCGAUACGGGCAUCACUGGAGUUCGGCAGGGGAGACUGGAAUUCCUGGUGUAGCGGUGAAAUGCGCAGAUAUCAGGAGGAACACCGGUGGCGAAGGCGCUCUGCUAGGCCGCAACUGACACUGAGGGACGAAAGCUAGGGGAGCGAAUGGG
rnacentral:rRNA from 1 species